rnacentral:rRNA from 1 species
AGCAGCCGCGGUAAUUCCAGCUCCAAUAGCGUAUAUUAAAGUUGUUGCAGUUAAAAAGCUCGUAGUUGAAUUUCGGGAUCAAUACGUCGGUCGUGCUUAGGUACGUACUGGCGUAAUUGAUUUCUCCCUUCUGACGAACCAUGAUGUCAUUAACUUGGUGUCAUGGGAAAUCAGGACUGUUACUUUGAAAAAUUAGAGUGUUUAAAGCAAGCUAACGCUUGAAUACAUUAGCAUGGAAUAAUGAAAUAGGACGUUCGAUCCUAUUUUGUUGGUUUCUAGGAUUGACGUAAUGAUUAAUAGGGAUAGUUGGGGGCAUUAGUAUUCAAUUGUCAGAGGUGAAAUUCUUGGAUUUAUUGAAGACUAACUACUGCGAAAGCAUUUGCCAAGGAUGUUUUCAUUAAUCAAGAACGAAAGUUAGGGGAUCGAAGACGAUCAGAUACCGUCGUAGUC